GCCUGGGUGGCUCAGUCGGUUGAGCGUCGGCUUCUGCUCAGGUCAUGAUCUCGCAGUUCGUGGGUUCGAGCCCCACAUCGGGCU
rnacentral:tRNA from 1 species